UAAGGAAUAUUGCACAAUGGGCGAAAGCCUGAUGCAGCAACGCCGCGUGGGUGAAGAAGGCCUUCGGGUUGUAAAACCCUUUACUGUGGGAUGAGGAAGGACAGUACCACAGCAACAAGUCUCGGCUAACUACGUGCCAGCAGCCGCGGUGAGACGUAGGAGGCGAGCGUUAUCCGGAUUCACUGGGCGUAAAGGGCAAGUAGGCGGCCCGUCGAGUUGGGCGUGACAGCCCCCGGCUUAACCGGGGAAGGCCGUCCAAUACUGGCGGGCUGGAGGGCAGGAGAGGAAAGCGGAACUCCCGAUGUAGCGGUGGAAUGCUCAGAUAUCGGGAAGAACACCGGUGGCGAAGGCGGCUUUCUGGCCUGCACCUGACGCUGAGAGGCGAAAGCCAGGGGAGCGAACGGG
rnacentral:rRNA from 1 species